CCCUGGUAGCUCAACUGGUAAAGAAUCUGCCUGCAAUGCAGGAAACCCUGGUUUGAUUCCUGGAUCAGGAA
rnacentral:tRNA from 1 species